rnacentral:rRNA from 1 species
GAUCUUAUGGUGGAAGAUUUAUGUUGGGAUGGCUCGCGCCAUCAGCUGUGGUGAGUAAGGCUCACCAAGGUUGGACGGUAGCGGCCUGAGAGGUGACCGGCCACAUGGGAUGAGACCCGGCCCAGAUUCUACGGAGGCAGCAGUGGGAAUUUGCACAAUGGCGCAAGCCUGAUGCAGCAACGCCGCGUGAGGGAUGACGGCCUUCGGGUUGUAACCUCUUUUAGCAGGAAGAAGCGAAAGUGACGGUACCUGCAGAAAAAGCGCCGGCUAACUACGUGCCAGCAGCCGCGGUAAUACGUAGGGCGCAAGCGUUAUCCGGAAUUAUUGGGCGUAAAGAGCUCGUAGGCGGUCUGUCGCGUCUGCUGUGAAAACCCGAGGCUCAACCUCGGGCCUGCAGUGGGUACGGGCAGACUAGAGUGCGGUAGGGGAGAUUGGAAUUCCUGGUGUAGCGGUGGAAUGCGCAGAUAUCAGGAGGAACACCGAUGGCGAAGGCAGAUCUCUGGGCCGUAACUGACGCUGAGGAGCGAAAGGGUGGGGAGCAAACAGGCUUAGAUACCCUGGUAGUCCACCCCGUAAACGUUGGGAACUAGUUGUGGGGGCCUUUCCACGGUCUCCGUGACGCAGCUAACGCAUUAAGUUCCCCGCCUGGGGAGUACGGCCGCAAGGCUAAAACUCAAAGGAAUUGACGGGGACCCGCACAAGCGGCGGAGCAUGCGGAUUAAUUCGAUGCAACGCGAAGAACCUUACCAAGGCUUGACAUAUAGAGGAAAGAUCUGGAAACAGUUCCCCCGCAAGGUCUCUAUACAGGUGGUGCAUGGUUGUCGUCAGCUCGUGUCGUGAGAUGUUGGGUUAAGUCCCGCAACGAGCGCAACCCUCGUUCUAUGUUGCCAGCACGUAAUGGUGGGAACUCAUGGGAUACUGCCGGGGUCAACUCGGAGGAAGGUGGGGAUGACGUCAAAUCAUCAUGCCCCUUAUGUCUUGGGCUUCACGCAUGCUACAAUGGCCGGUACAAAGGGCUGCAAUACCGUGAGGUGGAGCGAAUCCCAAAAAGCCGGUCCCAGUUCGGAUUGAGGUCUGCAACUCGACCUCAUGAAGUCGGAGUCGCUAGUAAUCGCAGAUCAGCAACGCUGCGGUGAAUACGUUCCCGGGUCUUGUACACACCGCCCGUCAAGUCAUGAAAGUCGGUAACACCUGAAGCCGGUGGCCUAACCCUUGUGGAGGGAGCCGUCGAAGGAUC